rnacentral:rRNA from 1 species
UGGGCUUGACAUCCCACGAACCUUCCCGAAAGGGUUGGGUGCCCGCAAGGGAGCGUGGAGACAGGUGGUGCAUGGCUGUCGUCAGCUCGUGUCGUGAGAUGUUGGGUUAAGUCCCGCAACGAGCGCAACCCUCACCCCUUGUUGCGACCGGGUAAAGCCGAGCACUCUAGGGGAACUGCUAGCGUCAAGCUGGAGGAAGGCGGGGAUGACGUCAAGUCAUCAUGCCCCUUACGCCCUGGGCUACACACGUGCUACAAUGGGGCCGACAAAGAGACGCAAAGCCGCGAGGUAGAGCAAAACUCAAAAACGGUCUCUAAGUUCAGAUUGCAGUCUGCAACUCGACUGCAUGAAGGAGGAAUCGCUAGUAAUCGCGCAUCAGCACGGCGCGGUGAAUACGUUCCCGGGCCUUGUACACACCGCCCGUCACACCACGAAAGCCGGCUGUACUCGAAGUCGCUGAG